AUACGUAGGGGGCGAGCGAUGUCCGGAAUGAUUGGGCGUAAAGGGCGCGUCGGCGGCCCGGUAAGUCUGGAGUGAAAGUCCUGUUUUUAAGAUGGGAAUUGCUUUGGAUACUGUCGGGCUUGAGUGCAGGUGAGGUAAGGUGAGUUCCCAGUGUAGCGGUGAAAUGCGUAGAGAUUGGGAGGAACACCAGUGGCGAAGGCGACUUACUGGACUGUAACUGACGCUGAGGCGCGAAAGUGUGGGGAGCAAACAGGAUUAGAUACCCUGGUAGUCCACACUGUAAACGAUGAAUGCUAGGUGUAGGGGGUAUCGACCCCUUCUGUGCCGCAGUCAACACAAUAAGCAUUCCGCCUGGGGAGUACGGCCGCAAGGUUGAAACUCAAAGGAAUUGGCGGGG
rnacentral:rRNA from 1 species